rnacentral:rRNA from 1 species
GAUGAACGCUGACAGAAUGCUUAACACAUGCAAGUCAACUGUGGCGGACGGGUGAGUAACGCGUAAAGAACUUGCCUCACAGAUAGGGACAACAUUUGGAAACGAAUGCUAAUACCUGAUACUGUGAGAGAGCUUUGCGUCCCAUUAGCUAGUUGGAGAGGUAACGGCUCACCAAGGCGAUGAUGGGUAGCCGGCCUGAGACGGUGAUCGGCCACAAGGGGACUGGGAAACGAGCAUUACUCAAUCGGGAGGCAGGAGUGGGGAAUAUACGACAAAGGACCAAAGUGUGAUGCAGGAAUUCUGUGUGUACGAUGAAGUUUUCGGAAUGUAAAGGGAUUUCAGUUGGGAAGCGGUACCAACAGAAGAAGUGACGGCUAAAUACGUGCCAGCAGCCGCGGUAAUUC